GCCGGUGUAGCUCAGGUGGUUAGAGCGAAGGUCUCAUAAUCCUUAGGUCCGUGGUUCGAGUCCACGCACCGGCA
rnacentral:tRNA from 1 species